rnacentral:rRNA from 1 species
GAGUGGACUCCUACGGGAGGCAGCAGUGAGGAAUAUUGGUCAAUGGAUGAAAAUCUGAACCAGCCAAGUAGCGUGCAGGAUGACGGCCCUAUGGGUUGUAAACUGCUUUUAUGUGAGAAUAAAGUUAGGUAUGUAUACUUAUUUGCAUGUAUCACAUGAAUAAGGACCGGCUAAUUCCGUGCCAGCAGCCGCGGUAAUACGGAAGGUCCAGGCGUUAUCCGGAUUUAUUGGGUUUAAAGGGUGCGUAGGCCGUUUGAUAAGCGUGCUGUGAAAUAUAGUGGCUCAACCUCUAUCGUGCAGCGCGAACUGUUGAACUUGAGUGCGUAGUAGGUAGGCGGAAUUCGUGGUGUAGCGGUGAAAUGCUUAGAUAUCACGAAGAACUCCGAUUGCGAAGGCAGCUUACCGUAACGUUACUGACGCUUAAGCACGAAGGUGCGGGUAUCGAACAGGAUUAGAUACCCUUGUAGUCCUGAGU